AACAUGGAUCGGGCAGCCGCGUUCCGACACUGUCGGAAUGAGGAAAGUCCGAACUCCACAGAGCAGGAUGCCCUGCUAACGGCAGGGGACAUCGGGACGAAAGUCCCGGUGGACGGACAGUCUCACAGAAAACAAACCGUCCCGAUUCUAUCGGGAUAAGGGUGAAAAGGCGAGGUAAGAGCUCACCGCCCCGUUGGCAACAACGGGGGCACGAGAAACCCCAUCCGGAGCAAGACCAAGCAAGAAGGGAGAGAUGCUCGUCUCGCGUUCCCGGCGACGGGAACAUACCUUCGGGUAGGUCGCUAGAGUCCGCCGGCGACGGUGGAUCGAGAUAAAUGGUUGCCUCUUCUCUUCCCCACUCCGUGGUGGUCGAGAACAGACAGAAUUCGGCUUACAGAUCCAUGUUGCAU
rnacentral:RNase_P_RNA from 1 species